CCUACGGGUGGCUGCAGUGGGGAAUAUUGGACAAUGGGGGCAACCCUGAUCCAGCCAUGCCGCGUGUGUGAAGAAGGCCCUCGGGUUGUAAAGCACUUUCAGUGAGGAAGAACGCCUGGUGGUUAAUACCCAUCAGGAAAGACAUCACUCACAGAAGAAGCACCGGCUAACUCCGUGCCAGCAGCCGCGGUAAUACGGAGGGUGCGAGCGUUAAUCGGAAUUACUGGGCGUAAAGCGCGCGUAGGUGGCUUGAUAAGCCGGUUGUGAAAGCCCCGGGCUCAACCUGGGAACGGCAUCCGGAACUGUCAAGCUAGAGUGCAGGAGAGGAAGGUAGAAUUCCCGGUGUAGCGGUGAAAUGCGUAGAGAUCGGGAGGAAUACCAGUGGCGAAGGCGACCUUCUGGACUGACACUGACACUGAGGUGCGAAAGCGUGGGUAGCAAACAGGAUUAGAUACCCCUGUAGUC
rnacentral:rRNA from 1 species